CCUACGGGAGGCAGCAGUGGGGAAUAUUGCGCAAUGGGCGAAAGCCUGACGCAGCGACGCAGCGUGAGGGAUGAAGGUCUUCGGAUCGUAAACCUCUGUCAGCAGGGAAGAACGGUCACUGUGCUAAUCAGCAGUGAAUUGACGGUACCUGCAAAGGAAGCACCGGCUAACUCCGUGCCAGCAGCCGCGGUAAUACGGAGGGUGCGAGCGUUAAUCGGAAUUACUGGGCGUAAAGCGCUCGUAGGCGGUAUGUCAAGUCAAGGGUGAAAUCCCCGCGCUCAACGUGGGAACUGCCUUUGAAACUGGCAAACUGGAGUGUGUGAGAGGAUAGUGGAAUUCCAGGGGUAGGAGUGAAAGCCGUAGAUAUCUGGAGGAACAUCAGUGGCGAAGGCGACUAUCUGGCACAUAACUGACGCUGAGGGGCGAAAGCGUGGGUAGCAAACAGGAUUAGAUACCCGAGUAGUC
rnacentral:rRNA from 1 species